UACGGGGGGGGCAAGCGUUGUUCGGAAUUACUGGGCGUAAAGGGCGCGUAGGCGGCCUUCUAAGUCGAACGUGAAAUCCCCGGGCUCAACCCGGGAACUGCGUCCGAUACUGGAAGGCUUGAAUCCGGGAGAGGGAUGCGGAAUUCCGAGGUGUAGCGGUGAAAUGCGUAGAUAAUCUGGAGGAACACCGGUGGCGAAGGCGGCAUCCUGGACCGGCAUUGACGCUGAGGCGCGAAAGCCAGGGGAGCAAGCGGG
rnacentral:rRNA from 1 species